CGGCUCGUAAAACUCUGUUGUUGAAGAAGAACGUGCGUGAGAGUAACUGUUCACGCAGUGACGGUAUUCAACCAGAAAGUCACGGCUAACUACGUGCCAGCAGCCGCGGUAAUACGUAGGUGGCAAGCGUUAUCCGGAUUUAUUGGGCGUAAAGCGAGCGCAGGCGGUUACUUAAGUCUGAUGUGAAAGCCUUCGGCUUAACCGAAGAAGUGCAUCGGAAACUGGGCGACUUGAGUGCAGAAGAGGACAGUGGAACUCCAU
rnacentral:rRNA from 1 species